GGAUCUCUUGGCUCUCGCAACGAUGAAGAACGCAGCGAAAUGCGAUAAGUAAUGUGAAUUGCAGAAUUCAGUGAAUCAUCGAAUCUUUGAACGCACAUUGCGCCCUCUGGCACUCCUCAGGGCAUGCCUGUCCGAGCGUC
rnacentral:rRNA from 2 species